GUUAGGAAUAUUGGACAAUGGGCGAAAGCCUGAUCCAGCCAUGCCGCGUGAACGAUGAAGGCCUUCGGGUUGUAAAGUUCUUUAGCCGAUGAUUAUAAUGACUGUAGUCGGAAAAUAAGCCCCGGCUAACUUCGUGCCAGCAGCCGCGGUAAUACGAAGGGGGCGAGCGUUAUUCGGAAUCACUGGGCGUAAAGCGUGCGUAGGCGGUUUUGUAAGUUAGGAGUGAAAGCCCAGGGCUCAACCUUUGAAUUGCUCUUAAAACUGCAAGGCUCGAAUCUCGGAGAGGAUAACGGAAUUUCCAGUGUAGCAGUGAAAUGCGUAGAUAUUGGAAGGAACACCAGUGGCGUAAGCGGCUAUCUGGACGAGUAUUGACGCUGAGGCACGAAAGCGUGGGGAUCAAACAGGAUUAGAAACCCUUGUAGUCC
rnacentral:rRNA from 1 species